rnacentral:lncRNA from 1 species
ACAGAGGGAGGAUUUCUGGAGAUAAAGUUCGUCGUUUGUGAGUUCGAGGUCCGAUCGUAUAGUUCAUGUUCGUGAUUUCGGUUAAAUUUUUAUGCUGAUUCUCGCUUGGAUUUUGUAAUCAAGGAUUUUGUAUCCACAGAUUCUUCUACUCUGAUUAAGGAAAAGUUUGGCUUCAACAGGUUCAUUACUUUAUCCCCUAUUUAUUUAAUUUCAAAAGUAAUUAAAAUAUGAGUUGAAUCAAUAGUGAGAGCUAGUGUUUAUUAAUUUGUUAGUUUACGUAAAUGUGGCUACUUGCUUCUUCGGGUGAAUUUGUUUAUCGUUCUGGGUGAGUUUAAUGCACGUUUGAAUCUGCAGUUUUAUGGCUUUUUUGUUAAAUCUGAGCGUUAGUAGUCGCGGUUCGCAGCUUUCGAGUAACGACUAAUUCGGUUGAAUUCUCUUUCGUUGCGUGUAUUCUGUUUCAUUUACGUAUUUGAAUGUCUCAUAGUUUCGAAACUGCUUGGUUUCAACAUGUUGGGUUGUAGUCCGAUUUGAUCUUGUGAUCUUCGAUUUGGUAUUCGAUCGCUUGAAUUCUCACGGAUUAAGGAUACAGGUCGAUUAUUUAAGAGUUGAUCGAAAAAAGAAAUAUUUAUCUACUUGCUUUAAUGAAGACCAUGUUGUGUUUUCUGCCAAGUUACAGUGCUCACGUGGCAAUUUGAUCCAGGAAAGGGUUUGUUAGCAUUCAUCAGUUGUUCCACUUUGUUUAAUAUGAUAUAUAUGAUAGUAGGGAAUAUUAAUUUGAGCUUUAUCCAUUUAAAUAUUUUCUUAUAAGAUAAGUUGCUCAUUCUUGUUUGUAGACCCAUUCUUUGUGUUGGUGUGUAGUGAAGUAUGCUUUCUGAAUACUGUCAAAGUUAGUUGCAUCAUUAAGUAUUUGUUUAAUCAUUUCACAAGUAUGAUGGUCUACUUUAUUUAUUUUAAUGUCUUGGGAUUCAUUUUGUUCCUUUAGAGUAGUUAACGUAUUUGGCAGAAGUUUUAUUUUCUUUGCUUUCUACUUUCAUCCAUAUUCACAUAUGAGAUUAUUUUAAUUGGCUCAAAUAAAUUUUGCAAAGUUUUCUUGUACUAACAGUAUUUAGGAAUGGCACGGUGAUAUAUUAAAGGUGCUUAGGUCUUAAACGGCUCAUAUAUGUUUUAGUACAUUCUGUUCCUUUCGUCCCUUAUGUGAAUUGAGAUGCCUUAGUUGUAUGUAUGUUUAUUACUAGUUGCUUGCAGCCAGUGCGCUGCACGGGCCCAACAUUAUAAAAACAAACUUCAAAACGUUUAAUGAAUAUGCGAUCAAUAUAUAAUCAAGCUUUAUUAAUACCAAGUAGGUAUGGAUACAUAUUUUGAGUUACAACAAUACAAAUCGUUAGAAAACAAUAGCAAAUUCUCACAGUCCCUGAACAAUGCCUAAAUAUUUUGAAGGAACUAAAAAAAAACUUUCUUAGUCGUAUACAUUUUUAAGUUAGUCCAAAAAGAUGAUAGGUGCAAACAUUUAUAUUCUAAUGUGUAUAUUGCAGAUGCGGCAUCUUCUAACCAUCAGUUGUUCCUUUCCUUCCAAAUUGUGCAGUCUCUAGAUUAUGGUUGUUCAACGGGACGGGACGAGACGAUAUUUAGCCGGGACGGUGGCGGGCCGUGACAAACGGGACGAAACGGUAGGCCCAUCCCGUCCCGCUAACAAACGGGAUGAGCCGGAACGGGACGGGACUGAACGGGACGGACGGUAGGCCCAUCCCAUCCCGCUAACAAACGGGAUGGGACGGAACGGGACAGGACGGAUUCGCGGGCCUUAAGUGUCAUUUUAAAAAAAAAAUAUUUAAGCAUUGAAUUUGGCAACCGCUAUUCUUUUGACAAUGACUAAGUUUUUAAAGUUUGCAACAACUAGUUUUUUGACUUAUUUAAUAAACUUAAAAAUUAAACAGAAAUUAAGA